UGAGUAAAUCGGAUGAUCGCGUGCUUUUGCAUGAGGAAAGUCCGUGCUCCAUAGGGCAGGAUGCUGGAUAACGUCCAGUGGGGGCGACCCUAAGGAUAGUGCAACAGAAAGAUACCGCCUAAUUUAAUAUUAGGUAAGGGUGGAAAGGUGAGGUAAGAGCUCACCAGCGGUUAGGUGACUAACUGGCUCUGUAAACCCCAUCUGGAGCAAGACCAAGAAGGGACUGAAAAAGGUGGUAGCCCGCCGCCGUCCCAAUGGUAGGUCGCAGGAACCUAUUGGUAACAAUAGGUCAUAGAUAGAUGAUCAUCUAAGACAGAACACGGCUUAUAGAUUUACUCAUCAU
rnacentral:RNase_P_RNA from 2 species